rnacentral:rRNA from 1 species
UACAGAGGUCCCAAGCGUUGUUCGGAUUCAUUGGGCGUAAAGGGUGCGUAGGCGGCGCGGUAAGUCGGGUGUGAAAUCUCGGGGCUUAACUCCGAAACUGCAUUCGAUACUGCCGUGCUUGAGGACUGGAGAGGAGACUGGAAUUUACGGUGUAGCGGUGAAAUGCGUAGAUAUCGUAAGGAAGACCAGUGGCGAAGGCGGGUCUCUGGACAACACCUGACACUGAGGCACGAAAGCUAGGGGAGCAAACAGG